CCUACGGGGCGCAGCAGUGGGGAAUAUUGCACAAUGGGGGGAACCCUGAUGCAGCGACGCCGCGUGGGUGAAGGAGUAUUUCGGUAUGUAAAGCCCUAUCAGCAGGGAAGAACAAUGACGGUACCUGACUAAGAAGCACCGGCUAAAUACGUGCCAGCAGCCGCGGUAAUACGUAUGGUGCAAGCGUUAUCCGGAUUUACUGGGUGUAAAGGGAGCGUAGACGGCAGAGCAAGUCUGAAGUGAAAGCCCGCGGCCCAACUGCGGGACUGCUUUGGAAACUGCCCGGCUAGCGUGCUGGAGAGGUA
rnacentral:rRNA from 1 species